UACGGAGGGUGCAAGCGUUGUCCGGAUUUAUUGGGUUUAAAGGGUGCGUAGGCGGCCCGGUAAGUCAGUGGUGAAAGCCUCCAGCUCAACUGGAGAACUGCCAUUGAUACUGCCGGGCUUGAGUACAGACGAGGUUGGCGGAAUUGAUUGUGUAGCGGUGAAAUGCAUAGAUACAAUCAAGAACACCGAUAGCGAAGGCAGCUUACUAAGGAGUAACUGACGCUGAGGCACGAAAGUGUGGGGAUCAAACAGG
rnacentral:rRNA from 1 species